UUGAUCCGAUGAUUUAAUUCUAGUUUUAUGUUUUAGAUCUAAUAAUUAUAAUAUUUCUGUUUACCAUUCAGUUAGUAGAUUUCAUCAAUCCGACAGACUUCAGCGGCUAAACUUAUAUAUUAAUCAAGAAGGAACCUACUGGUUAGGCAAGAAAUCCAACGAAGUUAUUGAUUUAGUUGGAGAUGACAUUACACCUUUCGCAGGGUGUUGGUUCACUAAAUGUUGCUUUCAAUUCUCGAUCCAUGUACCGAAGGCGUUUGUUUAUGGAAACACUGACAGGGUAUUCCAACCCAGAUUUAUAUUUGAUCACACUGUGUGGAAGGAUUAUGUCGACUGCACAAAUACUCUUCAUCUUGCUCCCCACUUGAUGGUACUGC